GACGAACGCUGGCGGCGUGCCUAAUACAUGCAAGUCGAACGCAGUGGGGACGGGUGAGUAACACGUGGGUAACCUCCCAUCAGAGGGAUAACACUUGGAACCCAGGGCUAAAACGGAAACUGGUGGGUUGAACCGCGGUGCAUUUGCUAGGUGGUGGGGGAACGGCCCACCAAGGCCACGAUGCAUAGCCGGCCUGAGAGGAGGAUCGGCCACACUGGGACUGAGACACGGCCCAGACUCCUACGGGAGGCAGCAGUAGGGAAUCUUGGGCAAUGGACGAAAGUCUGACCGAGCCACGCCGCGUGAGUGAAGAAGGUUUUCGGAUCGUAAAGCUCUGUUGGUAGGGAAGCGGUAUCUAACCAAAAAGCCACGGCUAACUACGUGCCAGCAGCCGCGGUAAUUC
rnacentral:rRNA from 1 species